rnacentral:rRNA from 1 species
UAGUUUGAUCCUGGCUCAGGACGAACGCUGGCGGCGCGCCUAACACAUGCAAGUCGAGGGAGAAGCACCCUUCGGGGUGUGGAGACCGGCGAACGGGUGAGUAACACGUGAGGAACCUGCCCUGCAGACCGGAAUAACCACGGGAAACUGUGGCUAAUGCCGGAUGACCUCAGUGGUCCGCAUGGACCGCAGAGCAAAUGGUCAGCCGCUGCAGGAUGGCCUCGCGGCCUAUCAGCUUGUUGGUGGGGUAAUGGCCCACCAAGGCUCCGACGGGUAGCUGGCGUGAGAGCGCGACCAGCCACACUGGGACUGAGACACGGCCCAGACUCCUACGGGAGGCAGCAGUGGGGAAUCUUGCUCAAUGGGCGAAAGCCUGAAGCAGCGACGCCGCGUGCGGGAAGAAGGCCUUCGGGUUGUAAACCGCUUUCAGGAGGGAAGAAGCGAAAGUGACGGUACCUCCAGAAGAAGCCCCGGCCAACUACGUGCCAGCAGCCGCGGUAAUACGUAGGGGGCAAGCGUUGUCCGGAAUUAUUGGGCGUAAAGAGCUCGUAGGCGGUCCAUUAAGUCGGAUGUGAAAUCUCAGGGCUCAACCCUGAAAUUGCAUCCGAUACUGUUGGACUUGAGGCAGGUAGGGGAAGGUGGAAUUCCUGGUGUAGCGGUGAAACGCGC